rnacentral:rRNA from 1 species
CGACAUGAUCUGAUUUUAUUGAUUGUCUUGUUGUUGUUUGAGGUAUUUUUAUUAAUUGUUUGUUGAAGUAUCAUUUUGGUUAUUGUAUUUUUUUGAUUUAAUUUUUGUUACGAUAGGUUAUUUGUACCGUAGGGGGUUGUAUGGUAAUAUUUUUUUGAAAGUUGAUUUUGUUUUUCGUACCUUGUGUAUCAGGGUUCAUUGAAUUUUAUUAUUUAUUUUUAUUUCCCGAUUUUAGGGGAGUUAAUAGCUUAUGUUAGUUACUGUUUCAGUAGUAUUAAUAAUAGGUUGUUGGUAAUGAAAUGUUAUUCGUCUUUAAUGGUUUCUGGUUUUCCAAGAAAUGAAUUUAAUUCCUGCAUCUUAUUUAAUUUCUGUUGUUAUUUUACUUAUUUUUAUUUGAUGUUAAGAUUAAGGGGGAUUAGCUCCUUGUUUUAUUUUUAUAAUUGUUGUUCUAAGUUUAAUUUUGUGGAUUUUAUAGUGAUUUUCAAUUUGAUUAUGUUAAAAUUUUAUUUUUUCUUUUGUUUAUUUUUUGUUGAUUUAAUUUUUUUAUUGGAAUGUUUUCUUUAUCUUUGUUUGUGUGGUAAUUAUUGUGUAAUUAGUAAAUUGUGUUUGGUUUAGUAUUGUAGAACUAUAUUAAGUGUUAAUUUCUUUUUAGGAAUUAGGCAAAGGUUACAUGUCCGCCUGUUUAACAAAAACAUCUUUUCUUGUUAGUUUCUGAAGUAUAGCCUGCCCACUGACGUUAGGUUGAAGGGCCGCGGUAUUUUGACCGUGCAAAGGUAGCAUAAUCAUUAGUUCUUUAAUUGUGAUCUGGUAUGAAUGGCUUGACGAGACAUGAGCUGUCUUAAUAGAAUUGUUUGUUGAACUUAGGUUUUGAGUUAAAAUUCUUAGAUGUUUUUAUGGGACGAGAAGACCCUAUAGAGUUUGACAUUUGCAUCUACUAGUGUGAGGAUUAGUUUGUUGUAAUUAUUUUAGUAGGUUGAUUGUUUUGUUGGGGUGAUGGGAGGAAUUUUUUAAACUCCUCUUUUGUUAUGAUAUAUUUAUUUAUAUUUUUUUGAUCCAUUCAUUUUGAUUAUAAGAUUAAAUUACCUUAGGGAUAACAGCGUUAUCUUCCUUGAGAGUUCUUAUUGGCGGGAAGGUUUGCGACCUCGAUGUUGGAUUAAGAUGAAUUUUCGGUGCAGGAGCUGAAGUUGAUUAGGUCUGUUCGACCUUUAAAAUCUUACAUGAUCUGAGUUCAGACCGGCGUGAGCCAGGUUGGUUUCUAUCUAUAAUAAUGUUUUAUACCUUAGUACGAGAGGACCGGGUAUUUGGAAUAAUUUUGAUUUUAUAUGAUUUUUAUUAAUAUGUAUACUAUUUUGGCAGAUAAGUGCAU